CGGCACGCCUAACACAUGCAAGUCGAACGGAGUUUAAGAGAGCUUGCUUUUUAAACUUAGUGGCGGACGGGUGAGUAACACGUGAGCAACCUGCCUUUCAGAGAGGAAUAGCUUCUGGAAACGGAUGGUAAUACCUCAUAACAUAUUGGUACGGCAUCGUAUUAAUAUCAAAGAUUUAUCGCUGAAAGAUGGGCUCGCGUCUGAUUAGCUGGUUGGUGAGGUAACGGCCCACCAAGGCAACGAUCAGUAGCCGGACUGAGAGGUUGAACGGCCACAUUGGGACUGAGACACGGCCCAGACUCCUACGGGAGGCAGCAGUGGGGAAUAUUGCACAAUGGGCGCAAGCCCUGAUGCAGCGAUGCCGCGUGAGGGAAGAAGGUUUUCGGAUUGUAAACCUCUGUCAUCGGGGACGAAAAUGACGGUACCCGAGAAGGAAGCUCCGGCUAACUACGUGCCAGCCGCGGC
rnacentral:rRNA from 1 species